rnacentral:lncRNA from 1 species
GGCAAAACAACUGACUGAGACACGGCUUGCAAAUGCGGAAGCACACACAUGCUCCUUGCAAGACAGCUACCGGACCAAUUGAAAAAUGACGAUAGAUAGCUGAUAUUAAAGAUAUAUAGGGCGGCGUCUUUCUGAUGAGACGUUUAAGCCGUUGGUCCCGUGUUAUAUGACCAAUGUGAACGUUGAAAAACGAAGAAGAAAAUAUGGGACUGUUUCCCAGUGUACUGCUAAUUCACCACCAGAAUGACACAAUUGGAAACAAAUGUUUUAGAAUAAUCGAAUUACUAGUAUACUUGGUGAUGUCUACAUAUCGUGGGAAAGGAGUUGGCUUAACAAGAUUGGAUGUGUAAAUUUGUAUGAAGUUGAUCUGUGCUUUGUUAAAAUUGAGGAACACAGGUUAGAAGUGGUGUAGACAAAAUGUUCGUCUGUGAUCUUUCUUGCGAUCCUAGUAUAUAAUCGAUAGAAUAAGAAAGAGGAGCUUGGGUUGGUAAGCAUGUCCCAGAACCCUCAACAGCUUCAAAG